AAAGCUCUUUGAGGUGUUGAAUGGUUGUGGGUUCAAUUCCUAGGGAGGGAGGUUUAUGAGAAACCUUGUUUUAAAAGAUGUAGCAAUUAUGUUUUUAAAUUAGUGGUUGAAAGAUUUUAGGAAGAGCAGUUACUUUUAAGUUUUAUUUUAAAAAGAAAUGAAAACUUAGAAAGAGUGGUACGUUAUUUUUGUGAGAGAAGAAAAAGAUAGCAUUAGACGGAGAAACUGAAGGGAAGGAGAGUCUAGAGAAGAAAGGGUGAAAGCUUAUUAUUUUGAUUGGUUAAGAUAUGGAAAGUUCACCUUUACAUGAAAAUAUUUAUAUUAUUGAUUUUGAGAAUUUAAUUAUUUAUUGGUUUAAAUACCUUUUUAGUCCCCAAGUUGGGGUCUGAAUUUUUGUUUUGUCCCCGGUUUCAAAAAUGAAGCCCUUUGGUCCCCAUGUUUUCAAUUUUGAGUGCAAUCGAUCUCUUCCGUUAAGUAGGUAAAAAUGGCGUUAACUGAGACUUACGUGGUUGCACUUUUUUUUCUCUUUCAUCUGCUUUUUCUGACACUUUUUUAUUUUUCUCUUGUUUUCUAUUUCUCUCUCCUCUGCACUUAUUUCUGCUCUUCCCUGCCAUCCACUUUUUUUUUUAUCUUCCAUCAUUAACUUCUUCUAUUGCUUCCCAACAUUUAUUAUGUGUUUACUUUCGUACAUGGACAGAUAAUCUAAAUCUGGAAAUAUCUUGAAGGUCAAUGCACAAAACACUCACCACUACAUCCUCCGUGCUUUCUCGAUUUCUUGUUCUCUCUCGCACUUGCUUCUUCUUCUCCCAACGCCAUUUGUAGUACCACCACCACUCUCUCUUCUCUCUUCCUCCUUCUCUU
rnacentral:lncRNA from 1 species